rnacentral:rRNA from 1 species
ACACACCGCCCGUCACACCAUGGAAGUCGGUAAUGCCCGAAGUCAGUAGCCUAACCGCAAGGAGGGCGCUGCCGAAGGCAGGAUUGAUGACUGGGGUGAAGUCGUAACAAGGUAUC